CACAGCACUGCCUUAGAGUACUCUGAGUACUGGGACUCUGGAACUCUUCCAGCCUCCUCCAACCUCCCUGCUGUCCCAGGGAUGGCUAAUGAUUAACAGACCCUGCCAGAGUUCUCCUCAGACAGUCCCUAGGUCUCUGAGAUGCAAGUUUUCCAGCUGAUUUUAAAACAUGGAUAGCUAGCUGAUGGUAUUUAGCUACUUAAUGGACUGGAAAGGAAACAUCCUGUUUUGACAAGUGAUUGUAGGGAGCCAGAUGGAAGAAAGCAGUUCCAAUGGGGAACAGCCUCACUGUGAUGACCUCAGGAGCCCAUACUCAGAUGUGGUUGCUACUUAAACACCUAUCUCCCUUUUGGAUGAAAUGGGCAUUCCUGGAAGGAUCUGAGCCUGAGGUAAAACUGGAAGAGGUCAAACCAACCCAGCAGCACAGUUCCCAUGGCUGCAGAGAAAAGCUCAGUGCUGUGACUGCCUUUUAAUCACCUGGAUUCAGGAGAAAAAGGACAAUGUCUUUCAACAAAGAACAAACCUGAAAAACCCUGGAUGCAUAAGAGGAGGCCAUAUUUGAGUAAAAUGGCUCAGCACUUGCCCCAAGAAUGGAACAUAUCCUUUAUUUACUUUUGCAAAAAAAUACUUGGUUACUUAAAAUUUAUUAAAAUACUGUCUAUCUAGAAGAGCCUUUAAAAAGCAAAUGGCAUGUGGUGGUUUGCACUAAUUAUCUCAAGGGAAUGUCUUCCUGAAUAAAAAGUUACUUUACUUGCUACCUGGAAAUACAGUUUUGCUACCAACAACCAAUUGCUUUUUGCUUCCCUUUUGAAAUGGUCAAUGGUAAAGAAACUGUCAGUGUUGAACAAUCUUGAAAUGGUAUCUGCCAGUUACCAAGGUCUUGGAAAAAGGGAAUAUGUGUCAUAAAUCAAGAGAAUGUAUUUUAUAUCAAAGGAAAAUGCUGGCAAAACCACCAAAUCAACACUACGUUUCUGCACGAGGUUGAUGAAUAGUUUGACAGAACUGCUGAGGGUCACGGCAGUGUUUCAGUGACGUGGAGGGCAUGGGUCCAGGUCAGCUGGAGCAGAGUCAGAAGAGACACACACAUUACCUCUCUCUUCAGUGGCCUUGGCUCUUCCCAGCUCUCCUCCCCACCAAACCCAGGCAGAACUGGAGAGGCUGAGGUGCCCUCAGAGCUCCAGGAAGCACAAAGCUGGUCUGCAGAGUCAGGCUGAGGAAGGCAGCGAGGGCUGGAAGAGAGGAUGCAACUUCAACCAUUCCUGCCCCACCUGUAUGCUCUCAGCUGGAACCUCUCUCCUGACCAGUUCUGCAUGGCCUGCCUGCUCCAGUAUCCUCCUCCCUGACUCAGGACAGACUUGUAUCACCCUGUUUUUUAAGAUCCUCCACUCCACAAGAGGAUUUCAAGGGGAUUUCUGGAAGAUGUGGAUACUCUCAUUCAUGACAACAGGUGUUCUUCCAUGGGUUGCACUGGAACAUGGCUCGGAGCACAUAACCACUAAAAAAGACCUUUUUUAUUUUUUAACUUUCAAAUUACCUGGAAAUACAGUAUGAAGUAUAUAAACAAUAAUAAAUAAUAUACAAAACACAA